rnacentral:rRNA from 1 species
AUUGAACGCCGGCGGCAUGCCUUACACAUGCAAGUCGAACGGCAGCGCGGGGGCAACCCUGGUGGCGAGUGGCGAACGGGUGAGUAAUGCAUCGGAACGUGCCCAGUAGUGGGGGAUAACUAGUCGAAAGAUUAGCUAAUACCGCAUACGACCUAUGGGUGAAAGCGGGGGAUGCAGCACUUAAUGUUUUGGGAUGGCUACUUGUGGCCGCCUCGGGACAGUCUCAGGUGAGAACAUUAAGUGCUGCACCUCGCGCUAUCGGAGCGGCCGAUGUCUGAUUAGCUAGUUGGCGGGU